rnacentral:lncRNA from 1 species
GUACAAUAAUGAUUGAGGACAAUUUUUGUAACAGAUUUUACUCAUGAAAAGAAUGGAAUUCUUUUUCAAGGGGAAAUAACAUUUUGCUUAAUUGGAGUUCAAAGUUAGUGUUCCCUAGCAUCAAAUUGAUCAUAAAUGUUCAUCUGUAAAAGUCACUGUUAGCUCACAGGCUGUUCUCAAGCAGGUGGUGAGCCACAUUUGGGUCAUAGCUUCCCAACCCCUGGACUAUGGCAUGGAUGGAUAAUUGUCCUCUGGCCUCUUUUUUCUCUUCUUCUUUUUAGUAAUACAAUGCUUUGAGUUUUAGCUCAGCACAUAGCCACAUUGCUGGGUUCCUUUUUGUCCAGCCUCUCUUGCAACUAGGUGGGACCAUGUCAUUAAAUUCUGGAUAAUAGGAUGUGAGUAGCCCUCCAUUUUUUACUACCUACUGGCUAGGAGAGAGUGAGAGCUGAAAACAGGCUCCUGAAGCCCAGAGAGAGAUGCUCUGCGUUGACCCUGGCAGAGCGGCCCCACCAGCCCUGGACCUCUCAUUUCUAGACUGCUACGUGAAAAAGAAGAAAUGUCUAUCUAACUUGAGGCCUGUGUUUUGAGCCCUUUUGUUGUUAUAGCUUAGCUAUGCUCACAAAUACUCUAUACUCUUUACAACUAAAAGUAAGAAACGUUGGUGCCGGCCUGGUGGUGCAGUGGUUAAGUUCACAUGUUCUGCUUCGGCAGCCUAGGGUUCACCAGUUCCAAUCCCAGGUGCGGACCUAUGCACUCCUUGUCAAGCUAUGCUGUGGCAGGCGUCCCACAUAUAAAGCAGAGGAAGAUGGGCACGGAUGUUAGCUCAGGGCCAGCCUUCCUCAGCAAAAAGAAGAGGGUUGGCGGCAGAUGUUAACUCAGGGCUAAUCUUCCUCAAAAAAAAAAAAAAAAGGAAAAAAAGUAAGAAAUGUUUUCUCCUCCUCCUCUUUUUCCCACUCCUCCUCUUUGUUCUUUUCUUCACUGACAUUACUUAAGGACUUUUGCUAUUUCCUACUGGCCUUACUACUCAAAUAAUCUAAAUCAGUGAAUUUUUUUCUGCUUACGCAAAAACAAAUUAAAUUCCCCUUUGUAGCUUGGAUGAGAAUAGUUGAGCUAGAAUUUAAAAGCUAUCUAAAAAUUUUGUCUGUUUCUAAGGAUUUUAUAUGAGAUGCAGUUGUCCUUUUGUAAAAUAGGAAGCAAAAAAUCUUGAGAAGUGUAUCUUACUUUGCUUAGUGAAACCUGCAGGCAGAUUCUAUCUGUUUAUUGGGAUUAUUAUAAAAGACUGGAUAAUAGCCUUGAAUAUUUAUUUUGUUGUCAGUUGAGCUUUUUCUUUAAUCACAUCUAGUUUGAAAUGAACUGCUGAAUGUAGAGCGUUAUACACACACAUGUUGCACAAAAUUUAAAAUCAUACAAGAAGCAAUGAAACCAGUGCAAAUUCUGUUGUCUGUGCUAUGAUUCACUGUAGAAAAAGAGAGCUGUAACGGCAUUUUCUCUUAUCAUUUUGUAAGGCUAUGGGAUAUGUGAUAAGUUGCUAAGAUUAGCUCUCUUCUGCCUCUUGAAGGUAGACAUCUCCCCAGCAAUCUGAGGAGUAAGGAUCCUGCCCUAGUAAUGUCUAAUAUCAUCAUAGCUUUCCUCUUUCUUCUCUUAUACCCAGUUUCUACUUGUGUUUCCGAAUAGGAAGUGACAUGAGCCGUCUUUCUCUGCCGUUGAAAAUCUAUCUCAAGGAUGGCAAAGAUGUGAUCCACACGUCACCACAUCCUGAACCCUCCUCCUCUGCUGGCAUUGCUAAUCAGUUGCCACAGUAUUUCUCUCUGAGUCUAGACGUGGCUUCACAAUUCAAAAAGUGUUCUUAGCAUCUCCAACCAAUUGAUCAGAGUUGUUUUAGAAAGUGGAGCUAUUUUAUAGCUCCCAUCCGGUUGGUGAAAAAGGCACGCAUUGGGGAGGAUGUACCUGGUUCACAAACUUUCUCACCCAAUAAGAUGCUGCUGAGGGGCAUUAUUUGGUCCAGCGUCAGGAUCACAGACUAGCCCUGAGCUAACAUCCGUGCCCAUCUUCCUCCAUUUUAUAUGUGGGACGCCUACCACAGCAUAGCCUGCCAAGCAGUGCCACGUCCGCACCUGGGACUCAAACCGGCGAACCCUGGGCCGCCAAAGCGGAACGUGCACACUCAACCGCUGCGGCACCGGGCCAGCCCCCAGUGAAGAAUUUCUG